CUAAAAUGUUCCCUAGGGGGUAAUACUAUUUAUAAAGAGAACCACUGUUCCAUUACACAACCAAGAAAAACAGAAACAUUUUCUGGCUUGGGUAGUAUCUGAAUGGGGAAUUCUCUGUUCCUGCUGCCUUACUUCUUCCCACAGAUGAAUGCGUUGAAAACCUGGGGUAUUUUAUCCCUAGAAUUUAUUUCUACCAGAAAGUUACCACUUUAUAUAUUCUGCCAACAAGCUUGCUUGCAAAAGAAGAAGCCACUGUUAUUCCUGAGGCAGUGGCAUGAACACAUGAACUGCAGAGAUAACAGAGGUAAGAAAGCUAUGAACCUGAAACAAGAAUCAUGGAGAGAAGCAAUAUGCAAUUUUGUGAAUUAUGAAUAUAAGUUCAUAAAGAGAACUGGGAUUGCGACCCUGUGGGAAGCCCUGAAGAAGAAAGACCAGGAAAAUUGGUAAGAGGUGGGAAUAAUGUAUUUAUGAUAUGUUACCCCCUGGCCAAUAGAUUUUAGGCAUAGAGAAGAACUUUAGGGGAGCUGAAGGACAAAGCCCCUUUGAAGAGCUUCUUGUUUGUGCAGAUGAUCACUUCCUCCCAUCAAUACUCUUUGCUGACAAAAACUUUGGCUUAGGUGAUGUUGCUCCAAUUUUACCAGGAAUACUUUCCUCUCCCUCCUUUUAUCUUCUCUUUCCUUCCAUAUUUUUCUGUCAAAAAUGGAAAUAGCUAUAAUAUAUAAUACAUAUCUAAUUAUGAAUGUAACAUAUACUCAG
rnacentral:lncRNA from 10 species